GUUUAAUCCUAGCUCAGGACUAACGCCGGCGGAGUGCGUAAUACAUGCAAAUCGUACGCAAUGUCCCAAAUGAGGAACGCAGUUGUACCUGGUUGACGAUGGAUCACCAGUGAGCGGCGGAUGGGUGAGUAACACGUAGGUAACCUGCCCCGGAGUGGGGGAUAACAUUUGGAAACAGAUGCUAAUACCGGAUAACAACAAAAGCCACAUGGCUUUUGUUUGAAAGAUGGCUUUGGCUAUCACUCUGGGAUGGACCUGCGGUGCAUUAGCUAGUUGGUAAGGUAACGGCUUACCAAGGCGAUGAUGCAUAGCCGAGUUGAGAGACUGAUCGGCCACAAUGGAACUGAGACACGGUCCAUACUCCUACGGGAGGCAGCAGUAGGGAAUCUUCCACAAUGGGCGCAAGCCUGAUGGAGCAACACCGCGUGAGUGAAGAAGGGUUUCGGCUCGUAAAGCUCUGUUGUUGGAGAAGAACGUGCGUGAGAGUAACUGUCACGCAGUGACGGUACCAACCAGAUGACAUCC
rnacentral:rRNA from 2 species